rnacentral:misc_RNA from 1 species
GAUGAAGAACGUAGCGAAACGCGAUAAGUAAUGUGAAUUGCAGAAUUUAGUGAAUCAUCGAACUUUUGAACGCACAUUGCGCCCGCCAGUAUUCUGGCGGGCAUGCCUGUUCGAGCGUCAUUUCAACCAUCAAGCCCCCGGCUUGUGUUGGGGACCUGCGGCUGCCGCAGGCCCUGAAAACCAGUGGCGGGCUCGCUGUCACACCGAGCGUAGUAGAUUUUCAUCUCGCUCAGGGCGUGCUGCGGGUUCCGGCCGUAAAAAGCCUUAUUUACCCAAGGUUGACCUCGGAUCAGGUAGGAAGACCCGCUGAACUUAAGCAUAUCAAUAAGCGGAGGA